UCCACAGUGUUCCAUUUUGGAUCUGUGAUGAGAGCCGUGCUGACGACACAGCCAUGAGUUAGCUGUGGCCAAACACUCCUCCUCCCUUCACUUUUAACCUGUCUUUACCUCAACACACAAGAUUUUUUGACUUUUUCUCUUCCAGCUCUUUUCCCCAUCGUGCUGGGAGGGGGAUGACUCAGUGUGUGGCUGUGUGGGUGGGUACCUGCUGGCCAAGCAGAAAACAGGAAGAGAAUGAGCUGUGACAUCACUGGGUAUCUCCAGCUCUGUAGGACACCAUAUUCCAGCCCCAAGAGAGUGUCACUUUUAGAGGAGUGACCCAAUGGCUGAGUGGCAUUCAGAUCCAAGGCUUUCUGUGUUCCUGCCUGCAAACUCUCCAUCACAAGCACCAUUACAUCUCUGCACAGCUGUAAAGGACACCCAAAGUAAAGGACCAUGGAUAAUCACACCCAGCUCUGG